CAAACGCGAAAUGUGUUAUGACAUGCAAUCUUUGAGAAUCAUGAAAUCUUUGAACGCACCUUGUACCCGAGGCAACCGUCUUGGGUGUGUUUGUUUGAGCAACGCAACGACCUCGUCGCUUUUCGGAGUGGAUGGAUAUGAGAGCGCGCAAGAGACACGUUUUGCACUCUUCAAAUGGAUAGGGUUAGGGUGAGGUGUGGGCUAGGGAGCGAGUCUUGGGAUAAUUCCAACUGGACACGCACACGAGCUCGAUAGCAUCUCGCCCUUGCACUCUAUUACUAGUUAAACACGUUCUCAAAUCAAACAGGAUAACCCGCUGAACUUAA
rnacentral:misc_RNA from 1 species